CCUACGGGGGGCAGCAGUGGGGAAUAUUGCACAAUGGGCGGAACCCUGAUGCAGCGACGCCGCGUGGGUGAAGGAGUACUUCGGUACGUAAAGCUCUAUCAGCAGGAAAGAAAAUGACGGUACCUGACUAAGAAGCCCCGGCUAACUACGUGCCAGCAGCCGCGGUAAUACGUAGGGGGCAAGUAUUAUCCGGAUUUACUGGGCGUAAAGGGAGCGUAGGCGGCAGUGCAAGUCCGGAGUGAAAGCCCGAGGCUGAACCCUGGGACUGCUCUGGAAACUGUAAAGCUGGAGUGCGGGAGGGGCAGGCGGAAUGGCUGGUGUAGCGGUGAAAUGCGUAGAUAUCAGGAGGAACACCGGCGGCGAAGGCGGCCUGCUGGACUGUAACUGACGUUGAGGCACGAAAGCGUGGGGAGCAAACAGGAUUAGAUACCCUAGUAGUC
rnacentral:rRNA from 1 species